AUGCAGGUAAGGCCAAACCACACCACGCUAUAAGACCAGCAAGGAUAGACGUCCCGUAAAAACCUGUGUGCCUUACAGCCACAGUGUUAAAAAGGUUGCUGUCACCGUUCUGUUGGUAGAUUUUUAAACGUCGUAUAUAUAAUAAAAUGUAUUCGUAAAGAUAGGCGUCUUGGAGCCUUUAUUAACAGCACUUUGAAUCAUAAACCCACACAUUGAAGGUUAUACAAAGAAAUGUCGUAUAGUCUCGUGACAUGUAUACGAUAUACAAUACAACACAAUUACAAUUGCACAAGAAAUACUUUAAACUUAGAUCUUUUAUUUUUAUCAGACAAGAAUAUGUACAGUGAUCUAGUUUGGAAUGUAUAAUUGUAGAAUUCGACAUACUGAGUCAUACAGAUAAAAAAAUAAAGGUACUCGUCGCCAAUACCUUGAAACACAAGGGGCAAAUUCUUUCAUUAUGUGAUAUACUAGCCCAAAUUCCCGUUUGUAGAUCCAACCAAUCAUACGAAUGACAUAUAGACCCAUAUCUACUACGUGAUUACUAUACAUUGACACGCGUGUCUUGUACUUCAUAGGACCGAUUAAAAUCAUUAAAUGGAGGGUACUGAGAUCUCUCUGGAUCUCCUGUCUUCCUCCGAUGGGUGAAAUAUAAAAAAAAAUCGGGCCAGAAUGAUCUAGGUUUGGUAUAUGAUCAUGACACACGCCUUACCUCAACUGACUCAACUGAGGGCUAUUUGAAAAUAAACUCUUUGAUAAAGUGUUGGAUAAGCCUAACAUCAAUCAGAUUAUCAAUAUACAUUGCAUUGCUAUCAGAAAAAAAAAUCGCAUUUCAAAACUGAAAUCUCGGAAUUUGCUCCGACUGGCGAAGCAAUGUCGAAGUGUUUGAAAUAGCAUGCCAUAUUCAGUCACAGACAUGGGCGUUCAAAACAUCUGUGGGGUCCGUGCGCUGUAUUGAAAGUUGGACAAGUAUCAUCCAGGAGCGAUAUAGAAACUUGUUCUUACCAGACUUCGUUUUCAUUCACUUCCGUGGCUUACUGUGCCAGCCCCGGGGUGGGGGUUGUACACGGUGACUACAAUAUACGUGAUCUAAAUAUAUAGAUCUAAACAUUUGUUUGAAGUCAGACUUACAAAGCAUACGUUUUGGGUAACGGUGCUAAACUCAAUACUGAUAUGUUGCCGCCGACGACGGAAAAGUGACGUCAAAGUCUUUUUUGUGACAUUAAAAAACUUAAACCUGUAUACCGAAUAGCAACGACAAAUGGAUGAAAUUGAUGAAAUAUAGAAUACAAAUAAGAUACAAUGCAAAUUUAAACAUACUGAAUACAAAUGGGAAAUAUACAAUAUAAAUGAAAACACAUUGAGUUUAAAUGCUAAAUUACUGAAUAAUGCAACGGUUGAAAAGCCAUAGCGAUGACAACGUUGAAUAUUUAUCUAAAUUUCUAUCAGUCUUGAACUAAAAGGAAAAUUAUAGUUAACAGGAACAUUAGGUAAUUGUUCCACGGUGACGGACACAAAAAUUACGUUAUAUAGAGUAACGGUUUGAACCACUCUGGGCAGGAAGGACUAGUACUAACGACGGACUGGUUUGGGGCAUCUGGAACUCCUCGGGUAGGUAUAGCCAACCCGAGGAUAAUCCGAAUGUGGUUUAGAACAACUAUAGGGGCCGGACGGGAGAGUCUGUAACGACUUUGGUCGAUCGACCAUAUAUAUAAGUAAAAGUUGUCUUCCUUCGUCAUUUGUGUUUCUAAGCUAUAUAUAUAUAUAUAUAUGGGGCAAAGAAGUAAUUCAAACAGUGUAAACAAUAAGGUUUGUUAAAUUUUCGAGGCAAUCCGCCCCUUUAUCAAAACACAAAAAAUCACAAAUACAAUCACAUAAUAUAUAUAAGAAGUACUGGAAAUACAAUAAAAUUCAAUAAGAAUAAUGUUAUAGUAACUGGAGAAACCACAAUGAACCCUUCGGCACUUCUUUGACCCUUUAUAUAUAUAUAUAUAUAUUAUAAGCUUAGUGGCUUUUAGUGUUAAAAUAGAAUGAUUUUUUGCUAUUAAAACUGCGUUUUCCCCUCGAUGAAGGAGAGUUUGUGCUCCUUGUAAUAGCAAGUCACUCCUGAUGGUAUACGUUAUUGGAGGUUAUUUCCCCUCGAGGUGCCCCAAGCGUCCAAUACUGCACGGGUUUUCACAGAGCCAAGUCAGUAUUCCCGCCACCGUCAAGCGAGAAGGACCUUUCGUUUCGGUCCAUGACGGGGCGGAAGUCUGUCAAUGGUACUGGAUGGACAUUAGGCCCUGCCGUCCUGAGGCCAAUGUCAAAGUCAACUGACCCCAGACCAUCAGGACUGUCCACAGGCAAAAGGACGAGAUCCUGGUCAGGAUAGGUGGUACUCCUAGCUCUGGUUGGGUGAUCUGGUGCUGGUGGUAUCUGGAGCUCAAUAGAUUUAUUUCAGUUCAGCACCACUUCUCGUUUCUUUUGCAGUAGUUUUUAAGCCAGGAAAUAUCAUUGAUGAGGUGCUAGGGCCUUUACGGCUGCAUGUUAGGCGAAAUCAUGAUCCCCUCCAUGAUGGACCCUAAGGGGGGCAUGUGGCUGUCUAGGUUCUAGUACUUUAUCACUGAUAUUUCGGGGUUAAAUUCUGUUGUAAUUGGGGCGGGUAAGGGUAGUUGUUCUGCAAUAAGUCUCUUGUAGUAAAAGAUACUCCGGUGUUGGAAAGUCUGAUUGGGGUGAAGGGUCAACCUAUUCUGUCUGACAGAAAAGCGAGCCCCUCGGUCAAGGGAGAACCGGGGGACGUGCCUAGAGGUGGCAUCAGGAGCCCUGCCAGGUCUCGGAAAGCUGACUGUGCUCACACUAGCGGGAGCAGUGUAGAGCCAGUCAUCAAAGGAUCUUUGUCAACAAGGCGAUAAAGACCUUAAGGAUGGACAGAGUGGCAGUAAUCUGUUUAUUCCAUAAAGCUGUGGUUGCCUGGAUCUAAGCCAUCAGGCUGAUGGAUAGGUCCAGAGCAAGCCCAAGCACCUGGAUGUGGUGCUGGAGCCCCUGUCGGUCUCCGAAAGCUAACUGCUUUGCACACUUGAUAUUCAGUGUGGGGCAGUCCAAUAGGAUCAGGUCACCAAGAUCCUACGGGUGGGACAUAGUGGCAGGACUAUAGUCUCCGUAGAGCAGGGCAUGUCCAUAUGGCAAGUAAGAUGUGCGAGAUCCACGCUUUGGCUGCAUCACAAGCAUGAGUGCCAUGUCCUUCAGGGGAAUGUCUAACGUCAGGACAUUCACCGGGUCAGGGUUCCAAAGGGAGCGUGAUCUCACUCUGGAUAGAUGACAUAGCAAUGGGGAUCUUUGUUAUCUCAAGAUGGUUCAUUCAUUUCUCAAUUCGUUCCGUCCCUUCCUCGACAAUGUUUAACUCAUGGCACAGACAUGAAUCUGGUACAAGUUAAGCAAUACAGCAUCAUGAUUGGAGCGCCAGGUCUGUGUGGUCCAGGCCUGGUAAUCCAAUGGACCACCAUGUGUCAGACUGUUAUUGCUUGUAAAUCUUGUAUAGGGUGAUUGUUUGUGUCUUGAGUUGAAUACUUGGAGAGGAAUGGACGGAUCUAGUUGAGACUUGAAUUAUCCAUCUUGUGAUUUCCGAUAUCUUUAUUGCUUUGAAGUCUAUUUGGAGUCAAGGUUGCGUAAACUUGAAGAAUCCUGGCUAUAAGGAUGGACUGCCAUGCCCCACCAAACCCCAGACGGGAUCGGACGGGAACGGACGGGAUCUGACGGGAUCGGACGGGAUCUGACGGGAUCGGACGGGACAGACGGGGUCGGACGGGACCCAGACCAUCUUUUUCUUUUUUUUUCCUUUUUUUUGUUUCAGGUGGUUCUGUUGAGGAGGCCUCCCCGUGGCAGAACUGGUAACAGCUUAAAGUAUUUAUCUGCAAAUAAGCCCAUGCCAAAAAA